AUGUCGGACUCGAAGCUGCCCGACAUCCAGGCCGGCUACGAGAAGGGCAUCACCAAUGUCAUGGCGGGCUUGUCCGGCUUGAACCUGGUCUAUGAAUCGG
rfam:Mesorhizobium sp. SOD10 genome assembly, contig: MPLSOD_Contig_1